rnacentral:rRNA from 1 species
GGGUUGUGAGGUUAAGCGACUAAGCGUACACGGUGGAUGCCCUGGCAGUCAGAGGCGAUGAAGGGCGUGCUAAUCUGCGAUAAGCGCCGGUAAGGUGAUAUGAACCGUUAUAACCGGCGAUACCCGAAUGGGGAAACCCAGUGUGAUUCGUCACACUAUCAUUAACUGAAUCCAUAGGUUAAUGAGGCGAACCGGGGGAACUGAAACAUCUAAGUACCCCGAGGAAAAGAAAUCAACCGAGAUUCCCCCAGUAGCGGCGAGCGAACGGGGAGGAGCCCAGAGCCUGAAUCAGCAUGUGUGUUAGUGGAAGCGUCUGGAAAGGUGCGCGAUACAGGGUGACAGCCCCGUACACAAAAGCGCAUGUGCUGUGAGCUCGAUGAGUAGGGCGGGACACGUGGUAUCCUGUCUGAAUAUGGGGGGACCAUCCUCCAAGGCUAAAUACUCCUGACUGACCGAUAGUGAACCAGUACCGUGAGGGAAAGGCGAAAAGAACCCCGGCGAGGGGAGUGAAAAAGAACCUGAAACCGUGUACGUACAAGCAGUGGGAGCACAGGUUUACCUGUGUGACUGCGUACCUUUUGUAUAAUGGGUCAGCGACUUAUAUUCUGUAGCAAGGUUAACCG